AUUGGUUCUAGGCCUUUUUGCUAAAAUCAAAUGUAGUAUCUAUUCAUAUCAGUAUACUAUCUCUAUCCAGGACAAUCUAUUAAAUGGAUUUUUGCUGCUGGGGGAUGAAAUAGGAGCUUGCUCUGUCUGCUCCACAUAUAGACCACGAAUUGCAGUACCUCCAGGAAAUGUGCAUCCCUA
ensembl:snRNA U2 U2 spliceosomal RNA